GACGAACGCUGGCGGCGUGCUUAACACAUGCAAGUCGAACGGAAAGGCCCUGCUUGCAGGGUGCUCGAGUGGCGAACGGGUGAGUAACACGUGGGUGAUCUGCCCCUUACUUUGGGAUAAGCCUGGGAAACUGGGUCUAAUACUGGAUAGGACCAUGCUGUAGGUGGUGUGGUGGAAAGAUUAGUUUCGGUAAGGGAUGAGCUCGCGGCCUAUCAGCUUGUUGGUGGGGUAAUGGCCUACCAAGGCGUCGACGGGUAGCCGGCCUGAGAGGGUGGACGGCCACAUUGGGACUGAGAUACGGCCCAGACGCCUACGGGAGGCAGCAGUGGGGAAUAGUGCACAAUGGGCGCAAGCCUGAUGCAGCGACGCCGCGGGGGGGAUGACGGCCUUCGGGUUGUAAACUCCUUUCAGCCAUGACGAAGCCCUUGUGGUGACGGUAGUGGUAGAAGAAGCACCGGCUAACUACGUG
rnacentral:rRNA from 1 species